UCAGUUUCCUUUGAUUCGUAAAACACCUCAGUAACAGUGAAGCUUGAAGAACUCGAAAGCCGUUCAUAUCUCUCUCACUGAAGACUGGUUUCACUGAAAAAGAUAAAAAUGGCAAUGUUUUUCAAAAGACUGAGCAAGGCUGCACCGAUCGCAUUCGAAAGCACAAAUUUUCGCAUCCCCCUUGGAGCUCUUGCCGCGAUUUCUGGAGGCUUCUCAUAUUACUACUAUUCGUCGCCAAAUUUGGUAAUUUCUUAAUCUGAUUUCAUAUCGAUCUGAUAAUGUGGACUGUAAAAAUUGUGGUCUUGAAUAUAACAUAAUUUUCAUUUUUGUUUUAAUGCUGUUGUCUAGAUUUUUUUAGUUUUUAAGCUUGAAAAUUUAAUUUUUUUGAUGUUGUUAUCUGGUUUUGUUAAUUUUUUAAGCUUGAAAUUUUAAUAUUUUAGUUCUAUGUAUUUUUCUCUGUCCAAGGUGUGUCACCUGGCGAACAAUCUAAGAUGAGAUACUGGGAAAUUUGUGUUAAGAGAGUGUACUGUGAUGUACAAUUGAAUUGGUCGUUCAGUAACCAGUCAUCCGAAAUUGGAUGAAUAUAGCAUUUGAUUUUGUAUAUGGAACUGAAUCCAGUUUUCUGUAUAUUGUUUUCUGGCUUUGAUAUUCUCGUAUGAUGUUAAGGGCUUAAAGUGCAUUGGGCAAAAAGCUUGCGUUAGAAAUUUCUCUGUCCAUGGUAAUGUGUCUGAAGAGAGUCAAUAUCCGACACCAGUUGAAGUGUUCAUGCAAUAGAGAACAGUACAUGAUAAUUCAACUUGCCUAUUACUUUGAUCUGUAUAUUAAUGUUCCUUGCCCUCAUUCCUAAGAUACUCUGUGUUUUUCUUGUACAAAGUUGAAAUGCAAAUUUUCUGUAAUUGCUUGAUACUUUCCAAGUUGAUAAUUUUGUUCAUUUGUUGAAUUGUUUUUAAUUCAGGUUUAUUCAGAUCAACUAAAUGAAGAUGCUUCUUCAAAAGUUGGUGAGUUUUUCUCUCCUUUCUAUAAUUAUUAAUGAAUUAUCAUGGUUUCAGUCUCAAUUAUUUCUUGUGGUUAUUAAAUCCACAUCUGUCAAUUACACUGCUGUAACAGUACUUGUACAGCAACUGGGAUUUAUUAGCUGAAGCAACUACUUCUCUUUAUACAAAUGCAUUUGAUUAGCAGCUCAUAAGAACGAAGAUAUCUACACUAGCAAACAUAGGCUUGCAUAACUCUUAUCACAUUGAACAUUGUGGAGCAAGGAGAUCAUCCCUCGAGAUGUGCAGUGGGAAGACUACAAAUUUUGCACCUCUGAACCUGGUCUAAAAUAAAAUGAAUUUUUUUUCUAGGAAAUAACAUGGCCCAAUAUGGUUAUAAAAAUAUCCCUGACCUUGAACCUUGAGACAUAUCUGAUGUUGCACUUUAUAGUAACGAAACUUUUUGGUUUGUGAUAUAGACUCUCAUUGCUGAAUUUCAGUUGCUUAUUCAAAUUUAAGAAUGUGCUUCACACAAAUGGUGUGUUUGAGCCCUAGUUAUACGUGAAAUAGAUUUUGUAAUAGUGACUUUUUGAAGAAUGUGUAGUUAAAAAAUAAAGAAAAGUUUUAGGUUUACAUGUAAAAUUAUUUUAUUACGAGAAUGUGUGGUUAAAAAAUAAAGAAAAGUUUUAGGUUUACGGGUAAAAUUAUUUUAUUAAGAGAAUGUGUGGUUAAAACUGAAUUUGAAGAAAAAUAAGUUUUUAUAGAAUGGGGAUCAAAUAGGGGCAAAGUCAAUGUUGUACUGAAACAUCUUAUCUCCACCAGAUGAGGCGUAUUUGCUGAGGCGCUUUGAGGCAUAAUUCUUAGGAUAGAACAGUAAAAGAAUUCAUAAGCAUAUAAAAUUACAAUAAUAUUGUCGUAAUAUGCCAUAAACCCUUUCGAAAAAUCCAUAAUAAAGCUUGUGAGCUUUGGAGAAUAAAAUGUGUUAUAUUCUUAUUGUAAUUCUUUACAAUUGGGUUAUAAUUUAUAGGCUAUUAGCCUUGAGAUAAACUAGGAACUACUAACAAUUUUUCCCUUUGAAAUAGUGAUACUCUCUUAGAAUUUAAAAAUUACAAAUUUGAAUAUGGAAACUUAUCAUAACUACACUCCUAAUUAUCUGGAGUAGAUGAGGUUGUAUCUUCCAACACUCCCCCUCAAGCUGUUGAAUAGGUACUGUCCAUUCCCAGCUUGGUAAUGAUGGUCUGAAACAUUGGAUUACUUAACCUUUAGUAAGUACAUUUGCUAGUUGAGCCUUUGAGGAUACAUAAGGUGUGCAAAUCAGACUACUAUCCAAAUUCUCCUUGAUGAAAUGCCUAUCCACCUCUAUGUGCUUAGUUCGAUCAUGUUGUACUAGGUUAUGUGCAAUGCUCAUUGCUUAUUUAUUAUCACAAUAAAGUUUCAUGGGACCAUCUCACUUAAUCUUUAAGUCUUCCAGGAAGAUCUUUAACCAUAGCAACUUAUAGACUCCUUGAGCCAUUGUUCGAAACUUAGAUUCUGCUCGAAACUUAGAUUCUGUAUUUGAUCUGGCUACCACAUUUUGUUUCUUACUCAGCCAUGUUACUAUAUUUCCACUGAGAAAGGGACAAUAUCUUGAAGUGGACCUUUGAUCCACUAUUGAUCUAGCAUAAUCUGCAUCGGUGUAGGCUUCAAGUGAUAAGCUAGCAUUUCUUCUAUACAAGAUACCUUUCCUUGGAGCUCCUUUAAGAUAAUGUAAAAUCCUGUAGGCCGCUUGAAGAUGAACCUUUUUUGGAUUAUGCAUAAAUUGGCUUACUAUACUUACAACAUAUGCAAUAUCUGGCCUUGUAUGAGAGAUAAAUGAGCUUACCAACUAGUUGCUGAUACAUUUCUUUAUUGACCUCAAUAUCCCCUUCUGCUUCUUCGAGCUUAUGAUUUAGUUCAAUAGGUAUAGUUGUUGGUUUGCUUGUUGAUUGCCCGGUGUCCUUCAGGAGAUCAAGAAUGUAUUUCUGUUGAGAGAUAAAGAUUCCGUGCUUUGAAUGAGCCACUUCGAUGCCUAGGAAAGAUUUUAAUCUUCCCAACUCCUUUAUUUCAAACUCAUUAGUUAAUUUGGGCUUUAAAUCUUCUUUCUCUUGCUCGUCAUUUUUGUUAUUAUGAUGUCAUCAACAUACACUAAAAGAACAGUAACUCUCCCUAUCUUUGAGUGUUUGAUAAAUAGUGUAUGAUCUCCUUAACUUUGCUUAUAGCCAUUUGUCAACAUUACCUUGGAAAAUCUACCAAACCAUGCUCUUAGAGAUUUUUUUAGUCCGUAUAAUGCCUUCUUCAGUCUGCACACCUUGUUGUUUGGUAGUCCUUUUUCGAAAUUGGUGGUACCUCCAUGUAUAUUUCUUCCUCUAGAUCUCCAUGUAGGAAUGCAUUCUUCCCAUCAAACUUUUGAAGUUGCAAAUUUUAAUUAGCCACUAGUUCAUCAAACCAUUGAAUUUGAAGUUGCAAAUUGUAGUGACAAUAGAAUUCUAACUGUUCAUUUUUGCCACUGGUUCAAAGGUUUCUUGAUAGUCCACUCCAUAUGUUUGAGUAUACCCUUUAGCAACGAGCCUAGCUUUAUACCUUUUCAGCGAUCCAUUGUCUUUGUAUUUUAUUGUAAAAACCCAUUUGCAUCCAACUGUUUAUUUUUCUUUAGGUAAGUCCACCAAUUCCCAUGUCUUGUUCUUCUCUAGAGCCUGCAUUUCAACAUUCAUGGCAUGUUUCCAAUUUUCACACGAUAAUGCCUCACCUAAGGUGUUAGGAGUGGAUAGUGUUUAAACUUAUGAGAAAGUUUUUAUGAGAUGGUGAACAUUUUUUGAAUGACACAAAAUGUGAGAGAGGAUAUGAUGGAUUCUUAGUACAUUCUCUUGGUUUCUUUCUAAUGGAAAUAGGUAGGUUAUUAUCAUAAUUUGAGUUAGAAUUUGUUACCUCAUUUCUAGAAUUUGAGUCAAACUCUUGAACUUGCUUUAGUUUGGAAAUUGGUGCUUUCCUUCUUGAAUACACUUGAGAAUACUUGGUGUUAGCACGAGUUUCAUUACCCUCAUUUACAAAUUCAGGAACCCCAUUUGGACUUUCAUUUUGAUCGGAUUCUACAUGUUCGAUUUUUGCUACAAGAUCGAUGGUGGGUGUUUUUGUUUCUGCUUCCUGUUUUUCAAUGUUUGGAUCUGAAGGUGCAGUGGCCAUGGAUGUAGUUGUAGUAGGUGUUGUUUUAGCAGAAAGGUCUAGUAGAAGCGGGUCUUAUAACUCCUUAUCUUCCAUAACUGUCUCCCCCUGAAGACAAGGUUUGAUGAAGUAAGUAGUAUUCUCAUCAAAUGUAACAUCAGCUGAGAUAUAUGUCUUCCUAGUGGAGGGAUCAUAGCAUUUGUAUCCUUUCUGUAGAAGAAUACCCUAUGAAAACACACCGUCGUGCACGGGGAUCCGAUUUUCCUCUAUUUGGAUGGUGGAUAUGGACAAAAGAGACACAACCAAAUAUUUUUGGAACAAGAGAAUUUGUUGUGCUAAAGUCAGGGAAGAAUUUUGAGCGAAUAUUCAUGGGGCUUUCAAAUCCUAGGACUCGAGAGGGUAACCGGUUAAUGAGGUGGGUGGCUGUGAGAACAACUUCCCCCCAGUAAUGUUUAGGAACAUGAUUCUAGAAGAGGAAGGCUCAUGCGGUGGCUAGUAGGUGGCCAUUUUCCGCUCCGCCACGCCAUUUUGCUGUGGGGUGUGCACACAUCAUGAUUCAUGGAUAAUUCCCUCCUUUUGGAAGUAAGGGGAUAAGAUUUGAUUAAAGUAAUCCCUAGCAUUGUCUGAUCAAAACUUUUUGACAUGUACUCCAAAUUGAUUCUUGAUCAUAUUGUGAAAUAUAGGAAAUAUGGUACUCACAUCAGACUUAGAUUUCAUCAAAAAAAUCCAAGUAACUCUAGUGCAAUCAUCUAUAAAGGAAACAAGCCAAUGAGCUCCAGAAAUAUUAGGAAUAAGAGAAGGGCCCCAUAUAUCAAUAUGAAUCAAUGAGAAAGGAAUAGAACAUCUUUUAUUACUCAUAGGAAAGGGUACACAUCUAUGAUUAGAAAUUUCACAAACAUCACAAUGGAACUUCUCAUUAGCUAUCGCUUUAAACAAUGAAGGAAACAUAAUUUUAAGGAUUCCAAAAGAGGGAUGUCCAAGCCGUCGAUGGUGUAACCAAAUUCGAUCUUUAUUAGGCGAUGAGUGUCUUGAAAAAAAUGAUAAGGGUAAUUUGCUCGUACUUCCAUCCAAGUUGUUAGAUGUUUCAAGAAGGUAUAGCCCGUUGUCCUCCUUAGCAUGUCCAAUCGUCAACCCCGAAUCCUGGUCGUGAAAUACACAGUGAGUUCUAUAGAAAACUGCCUUGCAAUUCAUGUCAGUUGUAAGUUUAAAGAUAGAUAAAAGAUUGGUAGAUAACUUGGGAACAUGAAGCACAUUUUUAAAGACAAACGAGGGAUUAAUUCGGAUGUUUCCGAAGCUAGCAAUAGUGGCCAAGGAGCCAUCUGCAGUGGCUAUUUUUCUAUUACCGGGAUAUGGAACGUAGGUGCUAAAUGAACUAUAAGAGUGAGUCGUAUGAUCAAUGGCUCCGGAGUCAAUGACCCAAGAGGCAGCAAAUGUCUUCUGUGAGGCAGUUAAACCAUGUGAAAUAAAGGAAUUGGCUGAGUGUGCCAAUGAAUAAGUGAUUGGGCUAGGGGCCUCCAAUUUAACAAGCAGGUUCCUUAAGUGAUCUAUUUCCUCCUUGUUGAAGUUAUGCUGUUCUAAACUUCGAUCUUCCCUAUAAUCAGUCACGGUUAAGUGUGCUUGACUCGGGUUCCGCUGCUGUCCUUCUUUAUAUCCCCGUCUUUGCUUGAUGUAGGAGGUUUUCCAUGUAGUUGCCAACAUUUUCUUUAGUGUGUCUAGGCUUCUUGCAGUGGGUACACCGUAGGCUCUUGAGAUAGGCAUCUCGGCUUUCUCUUGUUGGUAGUUUGGAGAAUUCUGUUCUGCUAGUAUCUCAAUGUUGCCGCGAUUCUAUUUUGUUAGACUUCGUUAUUGCAGCACCAGUUAACAUAGCUGAGUAGGCAUUCAUAGGUGGAGAAUCUAGCAUCACUCCCCUACGACUUCUUCAGCUCGGAUUAUGGAAAUUGUCUCAUUCAAUGAAGGCAAAUCUGUCCUGCCCAAGAUCUGUACCCAAACCUGGUCUAGAUCAGUGUUUAAUCCAGCUAAGAAUUCAUGUACUCUUUCAUUUUCAAUAUAAUUCUUCAAUAUCAAUCGCUGCAUUUCAUCUUGAUGCACCUAUAGUAGUCAAGUUCCUGCCAAGCAUUUUUUAUAAUGUUGGCAUAUUCUGUAACAGACCAGGAUUCUUGCUUGGUGGCUGAUGUUCUGAUUUUGAUCUCAUAAAUCCAAGCAGCAUCUUGUUUUUUAGAAUACGUCUGUUGAAUGGAUUCCCAAGUCUUCUUUGCUGUCGAUAAAAACAUGCAGGUAUCACUAACUUCAGGUGUCAUGGAGUUCGAUAACCAAGUCAUGACCAUAGAGUCUUCCUCAUCCCAAACUUCAAAUUUUGGAUCACCUUCUUUUGGUCCAGUUCCGAGGAGAUAACUCAUCUUCCCUUUUCCCUUUAGGAAAGUCUGAACUAGUUGAGACCACUUCAAGUAAUUCUGACUGGUUAGCCGAUAGGCGGACAGGAUAUUCUGCAAGUCUCCAGUUGUGGAAAUC
rnacentral:lncRNA from 1 species